UGCAUUUAAACUUUUUGGAAUUUUGUUACCCUCAUAACUCCGCAACCGGAUGUUGCGCGCGAAAACGGAUUUCACGCCUAUGUAUACAAAUCAUUUGUCUACACAUUGUCAAAAAGCAACCCAAAAAAGUGAUUGGAAGUGCGCGAAAGCGAAUAUUCCCGUGCGCUUCCGCCGCUUCGACUAGGUAGCUAGUCAGUAGGUGUCAGGCUGGCUAAUGACUUUCUGCUGGCUGAUAUGCCGAUCUCCAAAUAUCCACCAAGCAGACGGAUGAGUGGAAGCGGUAAAAAAUGGUCAGCGGAACGGACAGAUGCGAUAUGAUACUCCAUUCAAACUCGCCGUAAAACAGCAUCUGACUGGGAUUCGUUUCCGAUCGUUUGAUCUCAAAUGUACUGAACGUCCACAUGGCUACGUUGCACACAAUGAGGAAAGUGAUCAUUUCGCGACCAGGCUUUUUACGCUGUAAUUCGGGAUUAUUUGAGCAGCGUCGCAGUCCAUCAAAGAUGAACGUUGUCUGCAGUAUCACUUGCAGCAUCGAGGAUGUAUUCACGACGAUGGAGAGAUAAUUACAUGCCGCAAUGCCGGCAAUAAUACUAAAGAAGCUGAAAAUAAAAAAGCACGGCAGCGCAACGAAAAGAAGGAAAUCAUCCAAGGUAUGUUUCAUAGCUGAAUGGUUCAAAUCCAACCGGGAUGUUUGCCUGAAUGCGGCGAUUGUGACAACUGAUGUCAACCCGAAAAGACUUAAUUCCGACACAUUAUUGAUAAUCAGAGCCGUUGCAGCAUAUUCUUCGGCGGAAAUCGUGACGAAAAAAAUUAUUAUGCUGAUGACUGUGCCAACCAGUACUAGAAUUCCCGGGAACAGGCCACGAUUAGUAGACCGGCAAUCGACAUGGAUCAUGUACAGUGACGAUCGGAUGCUGUGCUCAGAAUGAUCGUCACGGCGCUGGCCAUCUGGACGAUUAGAAAUGUACGAAGCAUUUCCUUCGUGUGGCGAAAUUUCAGAAGUUGUUGAAGUUUUACUGGGCACUUCAGGUGAAUUAUCCGAGUGGGAAUCGUUGUUUCCUAUAUUGCUCCAUAUCAUGUACCACACGGCGGCGGCAAUCAGUGUGUAUUCGAUUGUGAAGGGAUAUAAGUAUGGAGCGGCUUCCUGAGCUAUGUUUGCCAGGACAGUUUCUGGCAUACAAGCCGCUAAAGCAGCGCUGGUGUGAUUUGUAUCGACAGUGUGUGCUGCAAACAAAAAUUAAUGUCAAAUUACGGUGAUAUGCCGAUUAGUUAUUAUAAUGAAAGGUGAAUUUUUUUGCAGAUAACUUUUCAAAGAAAAUGGCCGUUUAAAAAUUUGCAAA